GCUUGGUUUUACUUGUGUUUAUCUUUUACAAUUUACUUUUAUGGUAAGUGAUAGCCACUUUUCCAUUUACAGCAGUAGUAUUAAGUUUUCUUUCUAAAAACAUGUAUUUAAAUAUUUAACUUGAGUCAACGAAAGGAAUAAUAUUAAGCAAAUAAUAGUAGAGGUGGUGGUGAGGGCUUGAAGUUUGGGGGACAAGAUCCAACACAAUUCCAAACAAGGCCAAAUCUUGACUUUUUUUGCUUGUAAACCAAAAACUCUCAACUUUCCCAGUAUGAAGUUGGAAGAGAAUGAUGGUGGUGGGGUGAUUAAUGCAAAAGUCUAAUGUCCAAAGAACCUCCACUCCACUGUGUCUAGAAUGAGGGCUUCACACUCUUCUGAAUUUCCAGCAAGGAGUAUGUCGGUUCCGUCUUAGCUCAUUUCAGAGUUUGUGCUCUUGGAGAUCCUGACGUUCAGAAACCAUCUCUUGGAGAGGCGAGCCUGGGACCUGGUCCUGAGCUUUGCAGACCUUCUCGGGAAAGGGCAAGCAGCAAGACUGGUCCUCCAGGUAGGCUGAGAGCCAAGGGCCUGAGCGCAACCUUCCCUGACCAAGCGCGGCCACUGCGCGCCGCAAGAUUAACGAGGAGCGAGCCGGGUUUCGUACACAAUGCGGCUGUGUUUGAUCUCGCGACGUGUCGCUCGGAAUCGCAAACAAUUUAUUGCCAUUAGACGCUGUUGUCAGGCACUAAUUUCCUGGUGGCGCUCCAUCGCAGGCCUCAAAACAACAGGGGAGGGAGGUCCGAGGCCCCUAGGCUGGGGGCGCCUAAAGAACCGUCGCGAGCCAGGCGGGGGUUCCCAUAACGAGGCUUUAAUGAGGGGAGAGCAGACAGCCUUUGUGGAGGAGCCCAAGGAGGCGGCGGCCCGCCCGGGCCCUAGCCGAGGUCACUUCCUUCCCCGGGCCCUGAGCACCGUGAACCCGCUGAGGGCCAGCUGAGGCCAUCAGGCCAGGUGCCCACUGCGGUCACCCUUGGGCCCGCGACACCCUUGCCGGC
ensembl:lncRNA